CUGGAUGUUCUUGACAGAGACUAUUAUGAGGAAUAAACUCCUUAAACCCAGCGGUGUAUAGAAGUUGGCUUCGGCAUACCCUAGCUAUCAAGAGCCAAGCUUCUUACAUUCUCUCCUCCCACAAUCCACUGCUUCCAGAAAAGUCAUUAAAUCACUUAAGAAACUUAGAGGAUUAUAGAUUUAUAAGCAGACAAUUUACUCUAGUAAGACACUGUGACAUUUGAGGCCAUGUUCUGCCAUUCACCCUGGCAUUCAACUUCUGGCAGGAGAGAGAGGAAGCUUGGCUUUCCCGUGGGCAUCAGGUAGCCUGUUUUGAAGAAAACGUCUUUCCGCGGGAGUGUUCCCGCACUCUGGGAAAGCCAUCUGCUAAAGUUAUCAAGGUGUGGAAAACACCCCCACGCUGAACUAGGAUUCAACCUCGACUCGGCAUCUGGAAGCUUCCCACUAAGUCUGUUAGUUCAGUAACAAGCCGCAGGCAUUUGCUGCCCAACAGGUGCAAACCAGCUCCGGGGAGCCACGGAGAAGAACUUGGUCCAUGCUUCUCAGCCCAGGACACUGGGGUGUGUUUACACAGUUAGGUACCGGUGGUCACGGCUUAUUUCUGAGGGAUAAAAGAACAAGUGGGAGACAUAAAUAAAGAGCAUGUUGACAUG
rnacentral:lncRNA from 1 species